AAGCAAUUUGCUCAUAGCCAUAGCUUUCUUGUGAAAGUAGGAUAUUAACCCAGGUGUCUUGGUGCUGGAGAACAGAACUGGCCAGAGUCCAUCCUGUCUCCCACCGGCAUCCCAUUACGAAAUGAACACAGAAAAGGCAGGUCUGCAAUGCCAACAUCUAGUAUCUAUCCCAAAGACCAGGGAGAAAGGAAGGAAAGAUUCUGGUUCUGUCCUCUUCCCCAAGGCAAGGCUGGCUGCCCUACCAACAGAGGCAAAGAGAAGAGUGUGCAAGGCUGGCUGCCCUCCCAACAGAGGCAAAGAGGAGUGUGUGUUGAAAUAUCCAUUGAAUCCCUGAGACAACUGGAUCCUGGCCCAUUGAAUCAUAAACUCAUUAUGGAGGCUGGGAAGACCUAGAAUGUGGCAUCACUAUUUGGAAACCAUGCCGAUUACCGACCGAGCUCUCAAUGGAAAAAUGCAGUCGGCGUGAACCACGCACGAACACAGCAGAGAAAGAAGAAAACACACACCACGAGGAACCCUAAUAGGACAAUACAUUAUAAGCCUCAUGGUACAUCCACUUGGUGUGCUGGGAGAGUCAGGAUGAGGACCUGAGAAGAACAGCAGCUUGAACCUGACUUCAUUUAACAGCCCACUGCCCUCUUGCCAAGAACCCAUCACAGACCUUCCCAGAAGAGAGGGAUGAGCCUCACCUAUGAAUAAGUCCUCAGAAACUCAAAUUUGAUUCUAAUGGAUUGUUUUCUCAGAAAGACUGAGCAUGUCCCCCCACAUCUCUGUCAUUUCCCACAGUAGUAACCUCUGCAGAUGCCACAUAGAAAACAAAACAAAACAAAAAAACAUGAGGUUGGUGGGCAGAUAGGCAGGGUAUAAACAAACAGCCUUGUAACCCAGAAGCUGUGUGAUAUACAGUAAACUUCACAACACUGAAAAGAUGUCCUAUCUGUUAAAAUGGGGUAAUAACAACUACCCGAAUGUUUAGGAAUAGAACUUCAAUAAAUGAUACAUUUUAUAGUACAGCAGACCAUCCUGUAAAGGUUUCAUCCUUCACUGUGGUGAUAAAUAUCCCAAACCACAUUGAAAAGCAUUGCAUCUACAUUUAUCUACACUGUAACUGUACUGUAAAUCAUGGGGGAGGGGAGAAUCAUAAAAACACCACCUGUCACCGUGUCAUUAAAGCAAGUUGGAAGUGAUACUUACAGAAACACAGCAAGAGCACCCCCAGUCACACAGUUCAAUCUCUUAGCAAGCGUUUUCUUUCUAGCCCAGUGGUUCUCAGUUUGGAAUUUUUGGCACUGCCUAGAGAUAGUUUUGUUGUUAAAACUGAGAAAAGAGCCGGGCGUGGUGGCACACGCCUUUAAUCCCAGCACUCAGGAGGCAGAGGCAGG
rnacentral:lncRNA from 1 species